rnacentral:lncRNA from 1 species
AUGCAGGGCUUUGGUCAAGUCCACGUGCGCUGGUCUAGCCAUGCAGUCAUGUGGUUUCUGCCGGGCUCCUGCAGAAGGGCACGUCCUCACAAAGCUUCCAUGAGCUCAGUCCGGAGGAGGAGACGGGCAGGACCUCUGAGCAACAGCCCUGCCAAGAGUAUUAGAGUGGAGUCAGCAAACACAGCCCAGGACACAGACACAGCAAAGAUUCCACAGGCAAAACCACCAAGGGCAAAAGUGGCCCAGCUUCUGGGAGACCCGGUAGUUAGAGGAAAGAGAAUGGAAUGAACACAUUUAGACUAUGUAGUAGACACAGGACAAGACUGACAGUCUUGGCCCUUAAAAGGUUACUUGUAGCUUUCAUUCCAUUAACCCACGGCCUAAGUAAUUUAGUGAUUUAAGCAUGGAGAGCUGAAGAGGGUGGAGUCAUGGGAUCAUCCAUAGGUGAAUCAGGCUCCUUAUAUUUAAGGGUCAUAGAUUCUAUGCUUCACUCCAAUUAGCAUCCUGCAUAUGCUUCCCACUAAGUUACAAGGGAGGCAGGAAGCAGAGAAUGGGGAUGUAGCCACAGAAAUCCAUCAUCGUUGUCACAAGGGGUGAAGAAGAGAGAAAACCUCUAGAUAUCUGCUCUCCCUACAGUGGUCCCUCGGGAUGAACAUUCCGUGGAUGUGACGACACAAUAUGAAGUCAGGACAGCAGCUCCACUGCAAAUCCUGUGUCACACUGCACCCUAGUCGAUAUGCAAAUCGUUUCUCUUGCUCCAAGGCUGGAGAAAAGGGACACGCUUGAGGUCCUAAGCAUUUGCAUAUUUCUAUCAAGUUCAUUAUCAUGCGCCCAAACAUGUUUGUUUCCCCACAGGACAUUUAGAUAAACAAGCCUUGAAAAUUAUCCUAAAAUUGAGAAGAAAAUGUUUUCUAAUGCUCAGACACCCUUCAAAAUUAAAUAGCACUCACAUCCGUACUCUUUUUCCCAAGCUCCUAGAGUGAUUGCUUUAUAUUACAGUCUAAUGUCCCAGCAGUAUUAGGUAAACUAAGCAGUUUGAGCACUGUAACAAUAAUAAUCACUAGUUUUGCAUCUUUAUUAGUGGUUUUGUAGAGAAACUACAUUUUUGUUUAAACAAAAAAGUUUGCUUCAGGCUCAACUCUUGCAUACCAAGCUUCAGUUUGUGGUGAAACUUUUAACAGUCUAGUUAGAAAGCCUCAAAUGUGGGGAAUGAUGAUGACGGAAAUGCUGACACAUUAGCCAGGGCUGGCACUGCAAAGACACUUUCAAAUAUGUUGGCUCUCCUCUA